AUUGAACGCUGGCGGCAGGCCUAACACAUGCAAGUCGAGCGAGCGGCGGACGGGUGAGUAAUGUAUGGAGAUUUGCGCGAUAGAGGGGGCUAACUACUGGAAACGGUGGCUAAUACCGCAAACUUUUGGAUGAACCCAUAUGGGAUUAGCUAGUAGGUGGGGUAAAGGCUAACCUAGGCGACGAUCUCUAGCUGGUCUGAGAGGAUGAUCAGCCACACUGGGACUGAGACACGGCCCAGACUCCUACGGGAGGCAGCAGUGGGGAAUAUUGCACAAUGGGCGCAAGCCUGAUGCAGCCAUGCCGCGUGUGUGAAGAAGGCCUUAGGGUUGUAAAGUACUUUCAGCGGGGAGGCGUUACCCGCAGAAGAAGCCCCGGCUAACUCCGUGCCAGCAGCCGCGGUAAUUC
rnacentral:rRNA from 1 species